rnacentral:rRNA from 1 species
UACGUAGGGUGCGAGCGUUGUCCGGAAUUAUUGGGCGUAAAGGGCUCGUAGGCGGUCUGUUGCGUCAGGAGUGAAAACUCGGGGCUUAACCCCGAGCCUGCUUCUGAUACGGGCAGACUAGAGGUAUGCAGGGGAGAACGGAAUUCCUGGUGUAGCGGUGAAAUGCGCAGAUAUCAGGAGGAACACCGGUGGCGAAGGCGGUUCUCUGGGCCGAAAUUGACGCUGAGGAGCGAAAGCGUGGGGAGCGAACAGG